GCGCAUGUGGCGGAAUUGGUAGACGCGCUAGGUUGAGGGCCUAGUGACCUNAUAUUNGUCGUGGAAGUUCGAGUCUUCUCAUGCGCA
rnacentral:tRNA from 1 species